UCGUAUCCGCUGCUGCAGUCGCCGCCGCCGCGGCGGCAGUAGCGCUUGCUUUUGUACUUGCGGACUGCGUGUCAGGGAUGGAAGGUCCUGGAGACGCGGAAGGGGCCGGCGUCGCCUUGCCGGUGGCGGCAGCGGGUUCCGGAUCUGAAUCUCGCAAGGUGGCAGCGGCUGCUGCUGGGAGAGGGGCCUUCCUGGGGCGGCCGCUUCCCCGGCGCUUUGGGGGGGUGAUGAUGAUGUCAGCCGCCGGGCUAGCGGCCGGUGGUUGCUGUGGGCUAGUUGACACGGACCCUGACGCCGACAAUAAUACGGCAGAAGAAGCAGAGGCGGCGGCGGCGGCGGCCGGAUCCUUGGCCUUGCAAGGUCUGCCUC
rnacentral:lncRNA from 1 species